rnacentral:ncRNA from 1 species
AUCGAGCUAUUGUGUGGAUUGUAGUUGAUAAAAACGAAACCACGCGCCUGGUCGAUACAGUGGAACAGGGGGUUCCAGUCGAACAUACUGAGCAUGAACGGAGGUAGGGAGUUGGCAACAAACAUCUUGCCCGACGCGAUCAUAUUGGCGCGCUG